UGGGGGAAUAUUGCACAAUGGGGGAAACCCUGAUGCAGCGACGCCGCGUGAGUGAAGAAGUAUUUCGGUAUGUAAAGCUCUAUCAGCAGGGAAGAUAAUGACGGUACCUGACUAAGAAGCCCCGGCUAACUACGUGCCAGCAGCCGCGGUAAUACGUAGGGGGCAAGCGUUAUCCGGAUUUACUGGGUGUAAAGGGAGCGUAGGUGGUUCGGCAAGUCUGAUGUGAAAGCCCGGGGCUCAACCCCGGGACUGCAUUGGAAACUGUCGGACUUGAGUGCUGGAGAGGUAAGUGGAAUUCCUAGUGUAGCGGUGAAAUGCGUAGAUAUUAGGAGGAACACCAGUGGCGAAGGCGGCUUACUGGACAGUAACUGACACUGAGGCUCGAAAGCGUGGGGAGCAAACAGGAUUAGAUACCCUGGUAGU
rnacentral:rRNA from 1 species